UACAGAGGUCCCAAGCGUUGUUCGGAUUCACUGGGCGUAAAGGGUGCGUAGGUGGCAGGGUAAGUCGGAUGUGAAAUCUCCGAGCUCAACUCGGAAAUGGCAUUGGAAACUACCCAGCUCGAGGGUUGGAGGGGGGACUGGAAUACUUGGUGUAGCAGUGAAAUGCGUAGAUAUCAAGUGGAACACCAGUGGCGAAGGCGAGUCCCUGGACAACUCCUGACACUGAGGCACGAAAGCUAGGGGAGCAAACAGG
rnacentral:rRNA from 1 species